UACGUAGGGCGCAAGCGUUGUCCGGAAUUAUUGGGCGUAAAGAGCUCGUAGGCGGUUUGUUGCGUCUAUCGUGAAAACCUGCAGCUUAACUGUGGGCUUGCGGUGGAUACGGGCAGACUUGAGUUCGGUAGGGGAGACUGGAAUUCCUGGUGUAGCGGUGAAAUGCGCAGAUAUCAGGAGGAACACCGGUGGCGAAGGCGGGUCUCUGGGCCGAUACUGACGCUGAGGAGCGAAAGCGUGGGGAGCGAACAGG
rnacentral:rRNA from 1 species